UAUUGCACAAUGGGGGAAACCCUGAUGCAGCGACGCCGCGUGAGCGAAGAAGUAUUUCGGUAUGUAAAGCUCUAUCAGCAGGGAAGAAGAUGACGGUACCUGACUAAGAAGCUCCGGCUAAAUACGUGCCAGCAGCCGCGGUAAUACGUAUGGAGCAAGCGUUAUCCGGAUUUACUGGGUGUAAAGGGAGCGUAGGCGGCCUGGCAAGUCUGGUGUGAAAUACCGGGGCCCAACCCCGGGACUGCAUUGGAAACUGCCAGGGUGGAGUGUCGGAGGGGCAGGCGGAAUUCCUAGUGUAGCGGUGAAAUGCGUAGAUAUUAGGAGGAACGCCAGUGGCGAAGGCGGCUUUCUGGACUGUAACUGACGUUGAGGCACGAAAGUGUGGGGAGCAAACAGG
rnacentral:rRNA from 1 species